rnacentral:lncRNA from 1 species
UUUUAAUCUAAAACAAAUCAGGAAAUGUUAAUUUUCUCGCCAAAGAAUAAAUAUUCAACCAAAUAGUUAUGAAUGAGUUUAUUAUACAUAAAUAGCUACAUAUAUAAUAUUAGGAUAUAAUUUUUAAUGUAGGGCCGGCGAUAACGGGCCUGCAAGGGAUGCACUCCAGGCUGGCGCUCCAGUUUGGGGGGCGCCAUAAUGAACUUUUUUGUUCGGGUAUUAUACAAAAUAGUAAUUUUAAAAAACCUAAGGGCGCCUAUGCUAGUUUUGCAGGCGGGCGCCUUAUACCCUAGCGCCGGUACUCAUAUUGGCCCUUACGGGAUGUUUGAAUGUUUCUAAAAAUAAAAGAGUAGCCGAGUA